rnacentral:lncRNA from 1 species
GCUGAGGAUAUUCCUGAGAGGAUUAUUUAACCUUUCAAUUUAGAGGGCACAAAGCCUCGCUGAUUAAUGAACUUUCUGAUGGUUGCCGAUAAGCGGAUCUAUUGCUUUAUUUCCUCUAAAAGUGAUUCCUUCUCCUGUCCAUAUUACUAUAAUCUGAAACAUAAAUGUGGCAAAUAGAUUAAAAAACUGCACUAAAGAGUUUAUCUGGCUGGCAAACUGAAGGAGCUAAAUUAAAAUUGGUAAUGACAGCAGUGGCUCAGCCUCAUAUAUGGUUUUUAAAUGCACUGUGUAUUUUGAAGAGACUUAUUCUCCAGCUUGCCUGGUAAUGACUGCUUUUGGUGCAGUAUGGGGCUGGCUUCUGUUAUCCCCACCUCAUGCCCCCCCCAAAAAAAAAAUGAGUUGUGUUAUCUGGAUGGCUGCAGACACAUACGCACCCCCUUUCUCACUGCAUGGGCAGACAAGGUCGAUAGCAUUACAAGGUAUUUGUGGCAGUGCUUGUUUCAGUUUUCAGAGCUGCCAGUUUCCAGGCAGAUUUGAAUUACAAAAGAAGAAGCUGGCAUGAAAAUUGAAAGGUUUUAUCGGCUGGUCUGAAGCCUCAUAGCACAUUGCUUAUUUAUGCAGUCCAUUUGCACCAGGAAAUAUAAAAAGGAAAUACAUUUUUAAAAUAAGGCCAUAAAGACCCAGAUAUGUUUAAGAUGGCAAAUAAAAUAUAGAUACCUAUAAUAUCUUUCCAGGAAACGAUUUUCACUUAAUGUUACUUCAGAAGAGCAGAGCAUUUAUGUUGCCGUCAUAAAUGUGUGCGUCUGUGUCACUAUGUAGGUAGUCUCUGGGGAUUAAGAAGGAAGCCCUAUGCUAACUUACUUUAAAAUUAAAAUAGACGGAGGGAUAGCUCUGCAGUUGAAGAGCUACAUUGGAAAUAUUUAAAUAGGGUGGUAAAUUAAACUUAAACUAACAUUUUUGCAUUCCAUGUAAAAUUAGCUAUGGGCCAGUGAAUAAACGCUGCUACCUUUAGAGAAAAUUGGGAUGCUUUUUAAGCCUAGAAGAUUGGGAGCAUCUGGAAGUGCAGCGCUGGGCUCCUUCCUGUCUUGCAUAUGCUCAUUGUUCUCCAGUUCUGAGCUUUUCUUUUUGUUUUUGUUGUUGGGGUUUUUAGUGGCGUGUAUUGUUUACAGAAAGAUUAGAAAGUGGUCAGUUUAAUAGUUCCCUCUUACGGAACUUACGCUUUUAUUUUAGUCUUUAGAUAUAUGUCUUUUAGAUAUAGCCUAUUGCUUUUUUAAUGUAGUAAAUAUGUAAUUACACUAUUAAAAUUUAUGCCAGUAACAUACAUAUUCAUCUUUAACAGUCUUUUUGCUUACCAAGAAACGAUACGCCCAUGUAAUAAACUCUUGAUUACAUUAAAUGAAGGCAUAAAUACGUAAGCACUUGGUACUGCAAGGCCUUGAAUAAUUCCUGGAUUUACCAAUGGACAUUUGCAACCGUUCAACCCAUGGGUUUGUAAAACUCAAGUAUGUCUAAGAGAGAGGGAGGGAGGGAGGAAGCUAGCUGUGUGUUGGAAAUAUCAGAUCAAUAAAACAGCACUCACUCUGCUGCAAUUCAAGUUAACAUUGUUCAAGAAUCUGUUUUCCAGUAAAGCAAAUUACUCUCAGCUAAGCCAUAAGAAGUGCAGUUUUUUGUAAAUUUCAUUUUUGCCAGUGUCUGGGGCCAUUCUCAUAUUUUCCUGACCUCAACUAAUUACUUCAUGUAGUUUUUUUUUUUUAAGCAGAAAACUAUCAAAAAACAUACAUGUCUGCUGCAUGCUAAUGAUGUGCUGUACAUUUCUUAUGAGUUUUCAUAAGGAUUUUUCUAUGUAGCAUGUGUGGCUUAAUGAUGUAAUCACCUGAUAGACUGGAAAAUGCGCCAAAACAGACGUUCCGGUCUGUUGUGUACAUAAUACAUAUUUCAGAAAUCUGCCUAAUUAAGGAAUUACCCAAUGAAUUGGGAGUCUGUUGGGUAUAUGACAUAGUUUUAAUACAUUAAAAACAUAUGUAUAUUAUUAUAUAUGGCACUUAGAAGAGUUAAUAGCAAUGUCCCCUGGAAUGCAGUAGAGUUGUUUUUCUCAGU